rnacentral:snoRNA from 1 species
AGGGAGAAUGAUACACAAGUGUCUCUACGUCAUUGGUCACUUGUCACUAUUCUCCCAACAUGAACAUGUGCUUUCUGAUGACUGUAAUGUAUUGAGAUUUGAAUUACAGACAGAUACGGAGCAUACAUUG